rnacentral:tmRNA from 1 species
GGGGCUGCUUGGUUUUGACAGCAGGAUGACUUGAGGUGUAAGCAUGCCGAGCGUUGUACGGAAGCUCGCAAAUAUCAACGUGCAAGCCAUAACAGGCGAAACAAACUAUGCACUCGCUGCUUAAACCGUUAGACGAUUUGAGCUUCAUUGGCGGCUCAAGGAGCCUGCCGACGAGUAUCCCGCCUUACGUUCCGCUCAUUAACGUAAGCGCUCAUGGGGUAUCAUCAUUUUGAGAUAGCCGGAUAAACACCCCUAAUAUCCGGUGAAAAUUUAGGGGAUAAGGGUUACGUUCGGCAGCGGCUCGCCUGACGCAACCUCGAAAACCGAAGAGCCGAUAAGCAUGUAGAAAGCGCGUUAAGACCUUGUUUGGACGCGGGUUCGACUCCCGCCAGCUCCACCA